rnacentral:rRNA from 1 species
UACAGAGGGUGCAAGCGUUGCUCGGAAUUAUUGGGCGUAAAGGGGAGGUAGGUGGUCUCGUGUGUCUGGGGUGAAAUCCCUGAGCUUAACUCAGGACGUGCCUCAGAAACUACGAGACUAGAGUUCUGGAGAGGGUCGUGGAAUUCCCGGUGUAGCGGUGAAAUGCGUAGAGAUCGGGAGGAACACCAGAGGCGAAGGCGGCGACCUGGACAGAUACUGACACUAAACUCCGAAAGCGUGGGGAGCAAACAGG